rnacentral:rRNA from 1 species
GUGCCAGCCGCCGCGGUAAUACCGGCAGCCCGAGUGAUGUCCCAUAUUAUUGGGCCUAAAGCGUCCGUAGCUGGCCGACCAAGUCUCCCGGGAAAUCCACCCGCCCUACGGGUGGGCGUCCGGUAGAAACUGGCCGGCUUGGAACCGGAAGGCUCAGAGAGUACGUCCGGGGUAAGAGUGAAAUCCCGUAAUCCCGGACGGACUACCGAUGGCGAAAGCACUUCGAGAAAACGGAUCCGACAGUGAGGGACGAAAGUCAGGGUCUCCAACCGGAUUAGAAACCCGAGUAGUCC